rnacentral:lncRNA from 1 species
AUUUUUUAGUUGGAUUAGAGUAAUAUUUUUUGAAUUGAUAGUGAUUUAAUUUGCAAUAUUUUUGAAAAUUUUGAUAGUAAGUAUACAGUGGAAUAAAGAGCUAUUAAUGCAAAUAGAUUGAUGUUGUCGUAAUACGUGAAGUCUUGCUUGAGAAUGCUCUGGGCACCUAGCUGUGAAAGGAAGAAUCGAAAUUGCAAUAACAAAAUCCUAAUUCUAAUAGUAUACUAACAAUUCUCUAAUUAAACCAUAAUAAUGAUAAGCAAUCUUAAUCAAAUUCAAAAAAACCUCAAGAAAUUUCAAACAAACAAUAAGAAUUAUUAAAGAAAUAUUAGAAGGAUCACAAAUAUCACUCAAAUACAUCUCAAUUCAAUCUUAAUUUAAUUCUAGUUAAAAUCCUAUUGAACUUCAUUCAAAAUUUAGGCCAAAUCAAAUUAAAUCUUAAAUCCUAAUAAAAUCCUAAACCCUAAAUCAAACCCUAAACAAAUCUUAAAUAAAAUCACAACUAAAUCUUAAAUCAAAUCCUAACCAAAUCCUAAAUCAAACCCUAAUCAAAUCCUAAUCCAAAUCCUAAACCCUAAACCAAAUCCGAAUCCAAAUCCUAAAUAAAAUCCUAACCAAACCCUAAUACAAAUCCUAAACCCUAAACCAAAUCCUAAUCAAAUCCUAAAUCCUAAAUCAAAUCCUAACCAAAUUCUAAAUCCUAAAUCAAAUCCUAAAUAAAUCUUAAACCAAACCCCAACCAAAUCUUAAACCAAAUAUUAAUCAAACCCUAAACCAAACCCUAAACCCUAAAUCCAACCCUAACCAAAUUCUAAUCCAAAUCCUAAAUCCUAAACC